rnacentral:snoRNA from 1 species
UUAUACGUCCCAAUGGGGCUUUGUCUGGAGACCCACAUCGUUGGGAAAACCUCAUACAGCACCUGUGUGGUUUGCUUUACUUGCAGAACUAUUGGUUGGAUCUGUGAGAAAGAAAUACAAGACAAAC